AAAAAGGGAAACAUCACUCCUAUAUUCAAGAAGGACAGAAAGAGACCUGGGAAACUACAGGCCAGUGAGCCUCACCUCUGCAUGUGAAGGUCUUGGAGUGGACCCUCCUGGAAAAGAAGUCAAGGCACAUGCAAGAUUUAAAGGUGAUUCAAGACAUGCAGCAUGACUUCACCAAGGGCAGAUCAUGUGUCACCAAUCUAGUGGCCUCCUAUGACAGAGUGAUGGCACUGGGGGACAAAGGAAUGGCAACUGAUAAUGUUUACCUGGACUUGCGCAAGGCAUUUCACAUGGUCCUACAUCACAUCCUUAUUCCAAAAUUGGAGAGAGAAGGAUUUGAAGAUGAGACUGUCCAUGGAAAUUUACUACAACUCAAGGAAGAAGAGAAUGGAUGAACUAUGUAGCUGAAGAGAAGAUUUGGGGCACUUCAUCUCUACCUCAAGUACUGAAAUUACAAGCAAAAUCAGCACAUGUAGAAGGCCUGAAGGGCAAUGAGGAAGCUGCAGUGAAAAGAUAUGGCUCCAGAAGAGAGACUUGUAUGCAUGUCUGUUCGUGCUGAUUGCUUGUUGGUGUUCAUUUUUUAGGGGGUGAGGGUGGAGAGAGGGAAAGGAGAAUUUUUCUGAAAAAAACUGUAACCUUUAGCGUAAAACAUUGAUCUUAUGCAGUGGGGUAGCAAAUGAUGAGAGAGAUAUCCAGGUCCAAUGCUAGAAUAGGAUGAAAAGAAUUUAUGUUUCCAGGAAAUACCUGCAGUUAGAGUCAGAGGAGUAAAUACUUUUUUUUGUCACUUAUCCCUGGAGCAGUGACAUGCUGGAGCAAUGUCACUAAUGUGUUUCAGAGGAGAGUAGGAACUUUUGCCCUCAGCACUUUGUUUGUUCACCUAUGCACUCACAAUAUUUAAAUUAGAAACCUCCAAUGUUCACCCUCGAUAGAGUGUGUAAUUAUGUGCAUGUCAUCUGGUGAUUUCACUCACUGGAGUGUCUGGCAGCUGCUCCAAGAUUAAUGAUAGAAAUAAUAAAAUCACUGUGAAAAAUACUCCCCAGAAAGGCACCCAUCCCAAACUAGGACUUAUUUACUACAAAAUUUUGUAAGACUCAAUGUC
ensembl:lncRNA